rnacentral:rRNA from 1 species
GUUUGAUCCUGGCUCAGAGCGAACGUUAGCGGCAGGCUUAACACAUGCAAGUCGAGCGAGAAAGGGGCUUCGGCUCCGAGUAAAGCGGCGGACGGGUGCGUAACACGUGGAUAAUCUGCCUCGUGGCGGGGGACAACAGUCCGAAAGGACUGCUAAUACCGCAUGUCAGGUCGGAAACUCCGGUUUCUGACGAAAAAGAGGGCGUCCGCAAGGAGCUCUCACCACGAGAUGAGUCCGCGUCCCAUCAGCUAGUUGGCGGUGUAAUGGACCACCAAGGCUUAGACGGGUAGCUGGUCUGAGAGGAUGACCAGCCACACUGGGACUGAGACACGGCCCAGACUCCUACGGGAGGCAGCAGUGGGGAAUAUUGGACAAUGGGCGAAAGCCUGAUCCAGCCAUGCCGCGUGAGUGAUGAAGGCC